rnacentral:rRNA from 1 species
UGAGGAACAUGACCUUCGGCGGGGGAUAGCCGGCCCAACGGCCGGGUAAUACCGCGUACGACCACAUGGGGACAUCCAUGAGUGGUGAAAGCAGCAAUGCGCCGAUGGAGUGCCUCGCGGCCUAUCAGCUAGUUGGUGAGGUAACGGCUCACCAAGGCGACGACGGGUAGCUGGUCUGAGAGGAUGGCCAGCCACAGUUGGGACUGAGAUACCGGCCCAGACUCCGUACGGGG